GCACCACGGGCGUCGACCCUACUAACGGCGAGUGAAGCGGCAAAAGCUCAAAUUUGAAAUCUGGUACCUUCGGUGCCCGAGUUGUAAUUUGGAGAGGGCAACUUUGGGGCCGUUCCUUGUCUAUGUUCCUUGGAACAGGACGUCAUACAGGGUGAGAAUCCCGUGUGGCGAGGAGUGCGGUUCUUUGUAAAGUGCCUUCGAAGAGUCAGUUGUUUGGGAAUGCAGCUCUAAGUGGGUGGUAAAUUCCAUCUAAAGCUAAAUAUUGGCGAGAGACCGAUAGCGAACAAGUACAGUGAUGGAAAGAUGAAAAGAACUUUGAAAAGAGAGUGAAAAAGUACGUGAAAUUGUUGAAAGGGAAGGGCAUUUGAUCAGACAUGGUGUUUUGUGCCCUCUGCUCCUUGUGGGUAGGGGAAUCUCGCAUUUCACUGGGCCAGCAUCAGUUUUGGUGGCAGGAUAAAUCCAUAGGAAUGUAGCUUGCCUCGGUAAGUAUUAUAGCCUGUGGGAAUACUGCCAGCUGGGACUGAGGACUGCGACGUAAGUCAAGGAUGCUGGCAUAAUGGUUAUAUGCCGCCCGUCUUGAC
rnacentral:rRNA from 1 species